AUUGCUGGUUUUAUUACAGGAGAGGGGAGAAAGCUUGCUGCUUUGUAGUGAAAUAGGGGAAGGCCAGAAAUUUUUGCAAGUACAAGUUGGGCUAAAGGCCACAGCAGACUAGAAGGUUGAGUAGUGAUGGGCUAAGGUGUCCAGAUCAGCUUGUGCGCACCUCGACUAAUCUCAAGGGCCUUGAAGUUAACGACCAUGUUAAAGGGCUUCCAGCCUCACAAUUAGCCAGGACAAGUACGAGUCGAGCGAACAAAUCUGAAUCCUUCUCCGAAUCAAAUCUAUGUGAUGCAAGUGAACGUGUACUAAAGAGCUGUCGUAAAGUUUCGUUGUUCAUUCCGUCGUCGACCCUAUCCAUGUUUCUACGAUGGCCCAAGAACACGCUUAUUCUUCAGCCGUAGAGAAACUUUUGAAUUGCGAGGUACCAUUACGAGCUCAAUAUAUACGAGUGUUAUUCCAUGAAAUAACUCGAAUUU